UGAUCCGGCCCCUCGUGCGGCGUCAUCCAGUGAAUCCCCCAGGACCGGGAGGUAGCAAGGGUAAGCGGGCUCUGGCGGGUGCGCGAGGGGUCCUCAUUUCCCU
rnacentral:SRP_RNA from 1 species